GUUGGAUCAAGAGUCGGACAGUGCAAGGUGGCCCUGUUGGUCCGUUUUGGUUCCGACCAUGGCGGCGGCAGCGGGUUAACCCCUUGCGCCAAACUGUCCGCUCUAACAGGCCGAAACGGUUCCCUGUGAGUAGGUCCUUCACGGAAUCGAAAGCGAUUACGCAUCAACCAUAUGCAUACGGGACGUCGGCCAAUGUUACUGUGAACAAACCAGCGUGUCCAAAGCAGGCUUUCGCCUGAAUGUUCGAGCAUGGAAUAACAAGGGAUCGAUUAUCUCGGUUCUUUUUGUUGGUUUUUUAACCCGAGAAGGAGUAAUUCAGGCCACGGUGUGUGAGUUGGGUUCCCCUGCUCCUUGGAGUAGGCCCCAAUUAGGCCGUGUCCUUACGGGAUCAAUAGGGACUGACGGGGUCGUACGUACUCUCGCGUCAGAGGUGAAAUUCUUAGAUCGCGGGAAGACGAACUUCUGCGAAAGCAUUCGACAAGAAUGUCUUCAUUAAUCAAGAACGAGAGUGAGGGGAUCGAAGAUGAUCAGAUACCGUCGUAGUCCACUACUGUAAACAAUGCCGUCUCAGGAUUGAGAAGUGAACCAAAUGACUUUCACAGCACUAACCCCUGAAACGAGAAAUCAAAGAUUAUGGGUUCAGGAGGGGGGGGUACAUUCGCAAGGCUGAAACUUAAAGGAAUUGAAUUUCACUAGGUCAGGACAAUGUAAGGAUUGACAGAUUGAGAGCUCUUUCUCGAUCCAUUGUGUGGUGGUGCAUGGCCGCUCCUGGUUGGUGGAGUGAUUUCUCUGGUUGAUUCCGUUAACGAACGAGAUCUCGACCCUUAAAUAGGUGCCCGUGUCGAUUGUAGUCUCACCUCCGCUUGCUUGCAAGAUUGGAGUGGGAUGAGACUGCGGGAAUACUUCUUAAGGGGACUGUAUGCGUUUAUAGCAUGCGGAAGAGCGAGCCAAUA
rnacentral:rRNA from 1 species